GUUGUCUUUUUGAUCUAGAAAACAACGUAAAGGGUUAAAGGUUCUGGAAACGCAUGUCUAUAUAUUCACGAUUACAUGAUGUGUUCUCAUUAGUUUGUGGAUCAGUGGGAACGAGAACACAGCGUAGAAUCCAUUCUAGGAAAGACACAUCAAACUAAACAUAAAAAUGAAGCUUCUCCUUCCAUUAGCUGUGCUUGGCGUCCUCGUCAUUUGCUGUCAGGCUCAGGAUCCACUCAAGGAGAAAGUCUUGUGUAUUAUCGAGACACAGUUGUCCUCUUCGAGCUGUAAGACUUCUGCUAGACUGCAAGCCAACGCCGAAAAUGACCCCGCCACCGCAUGCGCCACCCUAGAGGCCCUCCGAGUCCUACUCGAAAUUGUGCACUGCACCAGCGCAGACUAUGAUCUGCUUCACUCGGUCGUCUGUGAACAGAAAGACAUCCCUUGCUCACUACCAGCCUAGUUCACAGAAGGACUUCCCUUGCUCACUAUCAGCCUAGAAGUACGACACACAACAAAUGACCACAUUUUCCUACAUUAUAUGUACUGCGAAUAUUGGUUUCAUUAAAUCGUAUGCAAUAAAAUCAAAUCGUCGAUUUAAAA
rnacentral:sRNA from 1 species